CUCAUUUUUUUUUAAUAUGAAAGCCUGCAGCGAGAAGGGAUUAACAUUUCCUUAGAGAAAUUGGAUCUACUUGGUAGAACAUUCUUGUACUAAUCUUUCUAGUUGACCAGAUUUUUCUAUUAAUACAGUCUGAAAAGAACAGUUGUGCUCUCAUGGUGUGUUUCUGUAUGUUGUCAAACAGCAGCUGAUACUUGAUCAAGUUAGCAGGCUUCAUAGUGCUGGGGAAACAGUUCCUUACCUUCCUCACCCCUGCCUUGGAAAGCUGUUGCCAAAAUUCCUGGACCUUUGGCUUGAUGCAGAUGACAGCAGGCCUUGGGGAUGGUGGAGCCACAAGAUGGAAGUACCUGGCCAUCAAACGGGAACACCUAUCGUUUAAUCAGUCAUGGGAGAAAUAAACAACUUCAAAGCAUCUCCAGCUUCAUUUUGUUGUAAAGUUGUUCAGAAGAAUAUAAUGCAAAAAGAAAAGUACUGGUUUAUAGGAUUUGAAGAAAGGAAAAGUAAAGGUCUGGACAACUAGAACAUCUCUAAAU